rnacentral:rRNA from 1 species
UACGUAGGGGCAAGCGUUGUCCGGAAUUAUUGGGCGUAAAGAGCGCGCAGGUGGUUGAUUAAGUCUGAUGUGAAAGCCCACGGCUUAACCGUGGAGGGUCAUUGGAAGCUGGUCGGCUUGAGUGCAGAAGAGGGAAGUGGAAUUCCAUGUGUAGCGGUGAAAUGCGUAGAGAUAUGGAGGAACACCAGUGGCGAAGGCGGCUUCCUGGUCUGUAACUGACACUGAGGCGCGAAAGCGUGGGGAGCAAACAGGAUUAGAUA